rnacentral:rRNA from 1 species
UUUCUCAAUGGGGGCAACCCUGAAGGAGCGACGCCGCGUGGAGGAUGAAGGCUUUCGGGUUGUAAACUCCUGUCAUUUGAGAACAAGGUGCACCGGUUAACUGCCGGUGCAUUGAUAGUAUCAGAAGAGGAAGGGGCGGCUAACUCUGUGCCAGCAGCCGCGGUAAUACAGAGGUCCCAAGCGUUGUUCGUAUUCAUUGGGCGUAAAGGGUGCGUAGGUGGCGUCGUAAGUCGGGUGUGAAAUCUCGGGGGUUAACUCCGAAACUGCAUUCGAUACUGCGGUGCUUGAGGACUGGAGAGAGAGACUGGAAUUUACGGUGUAGCAGUGAAAUGCGUAGAGAUCGUAAGGAAGACCAGUGGCGAAGGCGGGUCUCUGGACAGUUCCUGACACUGAGGCACGAAGGCCAGGGGAGCAAACGGGAUUAGAUACCCCGGUAGUCCUGGCAGUAAACGGUGCACGUUUGGUGUGGGAGGAUUCGACCCCUUCCGCGCCGGAGCUAACGCGUUAAACGUGCCGCCUUGGGGAGUACGGUCGCAAGAUUAAAACUCAAAGAAAUUGACGGGGGCCGCACAAGCGGUGGAGUAUGUGGCUUAAUUCGAUGCAACGCGAAGAACCUUACCUGGCCUUGACAUGUAUCUCUAAGCACGUGAAAGCGUGUGAGUCUCGAAAGAGACCAAUUUACACAGGUGCUGCAUGGCUGUCGUCAGGUCGUGUCGGUGAGAUGUUGGGUUAAGUCCCCGCAACGAGCGCAACCCCUGUGAACUGUUGCCACGUCCUUGAUUGGACAGCACUCUGUUCAGACUGCCCUGUGAAACGGGGAGGAAGGUGGGGACGACGUCAAGUCAGUAUGGCCCUUACGGCCAGGGCUGCACACGUACUACAAUGCCCAGUACAGAACGAUCCGAGACCGCGAGGUGGAGGAAAUCUAUUAAAACUGGGCUCAGUUCGGAUUGGAGGCGUCAACUCGCCUCCAUGAAGCCGGAAUCGCU